rnacentral:rRNA from 1 species
AGUGAACGCUGGCGGUAGGCCUAACACAUGCAAGUCGAACGGCAGCACAGUAAGAGCUUGCUCUUACGGGUGGCGAGUGGCGGACGGGUGAGGAAUACAUCGGAAUCUACUUUUUCGUGGGGGAUAACGUAGGGAAACUUACGCUAAUACCGCAUACGACCUACGGGUGAAAGCAGGGGAUCUUCGGACCUUGCGCGAUUGAAUGAGCCGAUGUCGGAUUAGCUAGUUGGCGGGGUAAAGGCCCACCAAGGCGGCGAUCCGUAGCUGGUCUGAGAGGAUGAUCAGCCACACUGGAACGGAGACACGGUCCAGACUCCUACGGGAGGCAGCAGUGGGGAAUAUUGGACAAUGGGCGCAAGCCUGAUCCAGCCAUACCGCGUGGGUGAAGAAGGCCUUCGGGUUGUAAAGCCCUUUUGUUGGGAAAGAAAAGCAGCAGGUUAAUACCCCGCUGUUCUGACGGUACCCAAAGAAUAAGCACCGGCUAACCUCGUG